AUGUUCCUUUUACCUUCCGGUACAUGUAGUGAGUUAAAGCUUGUGUUUUCUUCUGGCAAACGUCUCUACUUGUUGAAAGUUGGUUUUAUGGGAACUGCUAUAGAGAGAACCCUAGUUCAAGAGCAUCCUAGGAACAUCUAUUUACUGGAUAUUGACUGGAAAAGAAAUCUUAUCUACUGGACAAAUGCUCAGGGACAGCUAUUCUGCUCAACUGGCUAUUCAGGAGAAAAGCAAGAGAUUUGGACAGAGCAUACAGGUAAGCUGGGUGGGUAUUUUGGAUUUUCCCCUUUAUUUUCUGGCUCUAAAAUUAACUAGAGCCAAAAGAAACAAACAAACAAAAAUCUACCUAUUCCUGAUCUGAGUCAACCUUAAUGCCAAAGAACCAUUUUAACCUAAUUUAAAUACAAACUGUCUGACUUACCCUUAUACUGAGGAGAGGUGCACAGGCCCGUUAAGAGGCUACCAUAACUUGGGAAAUCCUAGGGUCAGUGAUAAGUUUUUUGAAAUUCUAUUUUUCUGGCCUUAAGUUUGGGUGGGAUAGAAAUAGACCUUAAAUAUUUCAAUUUUGCAUUGCAGAUUUUUCUUGCACUAAUUUAGAAGUUAUUUGCAAUGCAGAUUUCUGAGAGAACUAGCAAGAAAUUUUCUUAAUGUGGUAAUAUAUAUUUUCUCUCCUCCCACACUGCUGAAUGGCACAGCCCAUCCUUAGCACCCUGUACUCCACAUAAAGGCAAACAUCUACUUAUAAAAGGGAACUGGAGCUAGAGCUUAGGGUGAGUAAUUUGAUUUCUGAAUGUCUGUGCCCUGUGUACUCUAAGUACCAAUGAUACGCUUUACUACAAGAAGCACCAUAUUGAAAUGCAUGUUCCUGAGACAUCCUUCAGAGUAGUGGACUUUACUGAGUCCUGUGGGCAAGCACAGGAACUUCUAGUACCUACCUCAGAGAACUUUCAGGAAAAAGUGAAAUGAGCAACGUCCUUGUAAUACAUCUGAUGGCUGUCUGAGGAAACUCAUGAUUUUGAGUUUCUUCCCAUUUCUCCUCACCAGUUAAAAUGCCACCUUCACUCCACUGUUUAAUCUUAGCUAUUAGAUUUCUGUGUUAGAAUGAUCACAUCAAAGAUUUGGAAGGAACUGGAAAUUACAUUUGAGCUGACUUUCUAGUGUGGAAUGUUGAGACCCUGUGGUAGAUGGCUCUGAAAAAAAAAAACUAUAUCUAUAUAUCUUUAUCUAUAUCUAUAUCUAUAUCUAUAUCUAUCUAUAUCCCUGGUUACUGGCACAGAGACCCUAAGACCUUUGUAACUUCCUGAAUGAUAGCAUCUGACACAGAGCUCCCCUAAGUUCUUUGGAAUUUUCUAGGUGAUAGGAAGAGCUUGGUUUGAAUGAAGCAAAUUUGGUGGGGUCUGCAAUGCAAUGCAAAAUUGAAUUUAAGGUACUCGGACUUGAGGCUAGAAAAAAAAAUUAAAAACCUUCCCACUAAACAUAAAAUAAAAUAAAAUAAAAUAAAAUAAAAAUAAUAAAU
rnacentral:lncRNA from 1 species